UAGGCUGCAACUCGCCUACACGAAGCUGGAAUCGCUAGUAAUCGCGGAUCAGCACGCCGCGGUGAAUACGUUCCCGGGCCUUGUACACACCGCCCGUCACACCAUGAGAGUCUGUAACACCCAAAGCCGGUGGGAUAACCUUUAUAGGAGUCAGCCGUCUAAGGUAGGACAGAUGAUUAGGGUGAAGUCGUAACAAGGUAGC
rnacentral:rRNA from 1 species